AAUUCCUUCCUUCUCCCAGCUGGAGACCUUCUACUUCUGUGUCUUCUCUUCAUGUGACUCUGAGUUUCAUUUGAGUUGCUUGCAGGAGGAUGAUCGCCUUUCCCCCCUCAACCCAAUCAACCGUUAGCUGCACAUAAAUCCUCAGGGAAGCCUGGGCCCCGUGGCCCCUCCCCUUUCUCUCCUUGGACCUCUUCGUAUUCCGACCAGCUGUGGGAAGGCGCUGCCCACUAUGGAGGAAAGUCUUUCCUCCUCAGACCUUGGUGAACGUAGGUCUCGUCAAGUUGACCAUCGAGAUUCCCUUUGGCUAAGGGCAGGUAUCUCAUGAGAGUCAAGGAGGCGGCUGCAGGCCAGAGCAGCUGUCCAUGCGACCCAGCUGCAGGGGCAACAUUUCUCUGUGACGGAGGAUAACCAGGCUGCACCGUGGGGCAAGAAUGUGGGAAGAGCCUGAGGACUACACUGUCUAGCUCCAGUUGGACUGCCCACACCAGUAUCCUUUCCAGAAGAUACCAUGACCUCAUCCUUCAAUUUACCUGUACCUGGCUGACCUGUGACCCCAUGACCACCCUUCUGCUACUUGGAUUCUGACUGAUGCAGUGAGGAGACUCCUGGGUUGUAGGUUUGCUAUGAGAAGCCAAGGUAAUGGUGUUUACAGAGCCCUUUGCAUAACCCUCUUCCCGCUGUGCCUGUGGAUGUUGACAGAUACUAGCCAGGGGGUUGCUAGGACACAGGGGCUCUGCAGCAUGGUGGCUGAUCCCAAACUGUGGUCGCCUGGAGUCCCUCACAGGACACCUGCCCCGUGUCAGCUCCACUAGCCCCAGCUCAUCAGUGAGUCCUUGGAGGACAUCUGAGAUCUCUUCCAUCACUUUUAUUUCACCCACGAGGAAACUGAGGCUCAGAGAGGUUAAGAGUCUGUAGCAAGAAAGGAGGGAGCUGAGACCAGAAUCCAAGCCUGUCUUCAAAGCUUCAAAGCUUCUCCGUCCCCUAGGGAGACAGGCAUACACACACACACACACACACACACACACACACACACACACACACACACACGGGAGUUCCACUGGCAACAUUUUACUUGAGAACAAAAUUUUGUGUUGGAACCACAGCGCCCCUGUCCCCAGCAGAGUGGCCUUUGGGCCUUCACUGGCCACAUUAUUGUGCUAGUAGCAGCCAUGUUGCCAGGGAGGCAGGAAGAGCCAGGCCCUGGCUCAGAGAUCUCACUGAUAGAAUUGGGAUGUUCUUUCCGGUAGGGAAGGAUUGCUCUAGGAACCAGCCAAACAAGCCAUGUACUCAGCUCCUGGAGGCAAGAGACAGACCUGGCUUUGGCAGCUGGGGUGUCUUGGGUCUCAGGGCAUGGUGAAUGGAGAGGGGUCUGUGAGUGGGGUGCCAGGUCAUUGUGGUUGGAAGAGUUCACAUCAACUCCCUGGACUUCUUACGUUUCUUUCCUGUGUCCCCUGCUUCUGAGCCAUGCUCCGAGGCAGCUCAUGAGACCUCAGUCCUGAGGGCCACAGACCAUGGGUCCGGCACAUCCUUUUGGGGAGUCUUGUCAUCUGAUCAGCCAAUGAAGGGGACAGCAAGGUGCUGGACUCUGAGGAGGAUUCCCUGGUGGUCUCCUUUGACCUCGUCACAUGACCUGCAUAGAUGAAACACUGGCUCUGUUUGCUUCCCUAUUCCUUCCCAGCUCUCUUUGUGGAUGUUCUUGGCUCACUUCCACUUGGACAUCGUCGCACACUGGACUCCCUCUGGAGCAAAGAGCCAGAUGCUAAUGAAGUCACCACCAGGCUCCCUGGAGGCUUCUGGAGGCACUAGUCAAGAUUGGCAGUCUGGUCCAGCAGCCUGCAUCUGCAGUCUCGGGAGGGCUCCUGAGUCUUGUGACUCAGGGCGGACGAUGAAUACACCCAGAUUUGUUUUCUUUCUCUUCUUAUCCACAGAUCUGCAACUCUGCAUCCUCCUGCGUCAUGUGCAACCGGUGUGGAUGGUGCCUGUCAGGAUGAGCCUCCUGCUGUGUGUCCAGCCAAGGGCCCCCAGCAUCUGCAUCCUGACCCAUGGAAGGUCUAUCCCAGGGGGAAGGUCCUCACACUCUGCUCACAGGUCAGAAGAGGACAUCAGAUCCCCUGGAACUGGAGUUGCAGAUGGCUGUGAGCCACUACGUGGGUUCUAGGAUCCUUCCUCUGCACCAGUUUCAGGAGCCUUUAACCAUCUCCCCAGCCCCUCUUUGCAAAUUUUUAUAAUAAAGUUUAAAAAAAUUAAA